rnacentral:rRNA from 1 species
GACGAACGCUGGUGGCGUGCCUAAUACAUGCAAGUUGAGCGCUGAAGGUUGGUACUUGUACCAACUGGAUGAGCAGCGAACGGGUGAGUAACGCGUGGGGAAUCUGCCUUUGAGCGGGGGACAACAUUUGGAAACGAAUGCUAAUACCGCAUAAAAACUUUAAACACAAGUUUUAAGUUUGAAGGAUGCAAUUGCAUCACUCAAAGAUGAUCCCGCGUUGUAUUAGCUAGUUGGUGAGGUAAAGGCUCACCAAGGCGAUGAUACAUAGCCGACCUGAGAGGGUGAUCGGCCACAUUGGGACUGAGACACGGCCCAAACUCCUACGGGAGGCAGCAGUAGGGAAUCUUCGGCAAUGGACGAAAGUCUGACCGAGCAACGCCGCGUGAGUGAAGAAGGUUUUCGGAUCGUAAAACUCUGUUGGUAGAGAAGAACGUUGGUGAGAGUGGAAAGCUCAUCAAGUGACGGUAACUACCCAGAAAGGGACGGCUAACUACGUG